GGAUGGGUGGCCGAGUUGGUUAUGGCGCCAGGUUAAGGUCAACUUUAACUACAAGGUUAUCAACGAUAAUCUCCUGGUUUCGAAAGAAGCGCGAGUUCGAGUCUCGUCCCAUUCA
rnacentral:tRNA from 1 species